CACGUAGGGGACGAGCGUUGUCCGGAUUCAUUGGGCGUAAAGCGCGCGUAGGCGGCUCGGAAAGUCGGGCGUGAAAUGCCGGGGCUCAACCCCGGGACUGCGUCCGAUACUUCCGAGCUGGAGGUAGGUAGGGGAGAUCGGAAUUCCUGGCGUAGCGGUGAAAUGCGCAGAUAUCAGGAGGAACACCGGUGGCGAAGGCGGAUCUCUGGGCCUUACCUGACGCUGAGGCGCGAAAGCUAGGGGAGCGAACAGG
rnacentral:rRNA from 1 species